rnacentral:misc_RNA from 1 species
GAUGAAGAACGCAGCGAGAUGCGAUAAGUAAUGUGAAUUGCAGAAUUCAGUGAACCAUCGAAUCUUUGAACGCACAUUGCGCCCGGCAGUAAUCUGCCGGGCAUGCCUGUCCGAGCGUCAUUUCUACCCUCGAGCGAGUCCAGCAUCUAGGUGCUGGGCCUCGCCCGGCGUUGGAGCACUACGGGAAGCCCUGUGCUGUCCCCCGUAGGCCCCGAAAUGAAGUGGCGGUCCUGCCGCGGCGCCCCCUGCGUAGUAUAACAGCUCGCUUCGGGACCCGGUGGAGGCCUGCCGUCAAACCUAUACUCUCUAAGUUUGACCUCGGAUCAGGUAGGGUUACCCGCUGAACUUAAGCAUAUCAAUAAGCGGAGGA